UACGAGAGGCCCAAACGUUAUUCGGAAUUACUGGGCUUAAAGAGUUCGUAGGCGGCGCAGCAAGUCGGGUGUGAAAGCCCUCGGCUCAACCGAGGAAUUGCGCUCUAAACUACUGUGCUUGAGGAAUCUAGAGGUGAGCGGAACUGAUGGUGGAGCGGUGAAAUGCGUUGAUAUCAUCAGGAACACCGGAGGCGAAGGCGGCUCACUGGGGAUUUUCUGACGCUGAGGAACGAAAGCCAGGGGAGCGAACGGG
rnacentral:rRNA from 1 species